GACGAACGCUGGCGGCGUGCCUAAUACAUGCAAGUAGAACGCACAGUUUAUACCGUAGCUUGCUACACCAUAGACUGUGAGUUGCGAACGGGUGAGUAACGCGUAGGUAACCUGCCUGGUAGCGGGGGAUAACUAUUGGAAACGAUAGCUAAUACCGCAUAAUAUUGAUUAUUGCAUGAUAAUUGAUUGAAAGAUGCUAUUGCAUCACUACCAGAUGGACCUGCGUUGUAUUAGCUAGUAGGUGAGGUAACGGCUCACCUAGGCGACGAUACAUAGCCGACCUGAGAGGGUGAUCGGCCACACUGGGACUGAGACACGGCCCAGACUCCUACGGGAGGCAGCAGUAGGGAAUCUUCGGCAAUGGACGAAAGUCUGACCGAGCAACGCCGCGUGAGGGAAGAAGGUUUUCGGAUCGUAAAGCUCUGUUGUAAGAGAAGAACGGGUGUGAGAGUGGAAAGUUCACACUGUGACGGUAUCUUACCAGAAAGGGACGGCUAACUACGUG
rnacentral:rRNA from 1 species